rnacentral:lncRNA from 1 species
UUGCAUCAUAAACUAAAAUAAUACCUGUCACCUGAUUCCCAGCAUUUUGUCUUUGAAACACUUUAUUGUUUUACACUUUGAUGUGUUGGUUGCUAGCAUAAUGUAUGAUUUGACGAGUGAGUUGAGCAUGCACUUACUUUUAAAACAUAAUUCAAAAUAGGCCAUCUUUUUUAAAUUAAAAAAGAAGUACACACUUAGUACUGUGUAGUAAAUUUGUAACUAUUCAGAAAGAACUGAACAUAGUGGAGUUGAUACUUCUAGAGAAGCAGAAAAUGUAUAAGCAUAAAAUUCACAUGGGUGCUGGAUCUCAAAGCCCAUUAUGGAGCUGUGCAAAUAACCCAUUGGCAUCAUAACUUUAUUUCAGAUAUUAUAAAAAGAAGAAUGAAACACAUUAAUUUCACAUUCUUAUUCUUAACAGACAGGAUUAUGCAUUCACUUCACCUGAAUAUGUUAUCAAAAUAUUAAGAGAACUCAAUAGUACAGCUGUUUUAACCAACUGCAAAGUAUUUUUGAGCAAAAUGAAUAUUAUUCUAAGAUAGACUAGAAUACAGCAUGUGGUAGAUAAAUAUCAAAUGUUAUUUCAUAGUGUUCUAUCUUAUAAAUGUCAAUUUAGGUUUAUUCAUGAAAUGACAAUAGCAAAACUCAGUAAGCUGGAUAGUUAACUCAAGACACCAAUAUGUCCAAAAAUCAACAUACAACAAUUCAGAAACAUUUGCAUCUUACUGAAAUUGAAUAUUGUUGCUGUUAGUAUGAAAUCAUCGAUAAUUAGUUAUUAAUCUUGAAUACCAUGUGAAUAGAAAGUUGACUAAACGGAGUAUGUUGCUACUGAACUGCAAAUUGUUACCAAUGACCCUUUGUUUCUAGACGAAAUUUAAAGAAUGGAUUUCUAUUUCUGAACUCUAAUAUGAUUUGGGAUUUAGUUACCUUGGAGACUACUUCUCUGUCCUUGCUGAAAAAGAGGAUCACUUGAAGAUACCUACUGCUAACACAGGACAUUUGAAAAAUAACACGAUUUCUCUAGAAAUAUACUUCUCAUUCAAAUUAUCUACUUCAGAAUGCAUAAGUAAUAAACUCCACCUCAUCAAGGCCAUUUCUUUUAAAGAAGAGACUCAAAUUGCAAAAAUAAUAGACCCCACAUUGUCUGGAUUUGUUCUUGAUCAGAAUCACUUGAAUUGCAACAAAGAAACAAUAUGUUCCCCAAUUUGUUCAAUAAAAGUACUUAAAAUUAUACACAAUGUAUUCUUUCUAACAUUUUUGCAACUCAAUAUAUUCAAGCCUUUGUUCCUAAAUACUGGAAAAAUGUAAGUGAGAG